rnacentral:tRNA from 1 species
GUGCUGCGCGCCGCGGGAACGGGGGCUCGCCGUCUUCGGGACGGCGAUGGCCUCGCCGGUUCUGACCGCCUCGGCACC